UCCUCCCCUCCGGCAGGGCGGAGAUGCCCUCCCCCAACGAGCCAGGGAAUUAAAGCAGGGAACUGGGCUUUGGCAACUGGCCCUCUCACUGGCACGAGGCCUGCACUGUCUCCAAGGAUUUCUCUCUCAGAGACUCAGUGUUGCCUGAUUAAAAAUGAUUGCUUCUUACAAAGCAAAAUAGGGUCUUGUCGAGAGUCCACCCAACAAUGAGAAUGGAAAGUUGGGACUUCCUGGGCUCUGAACGCAGUCCAUAAGAAAGAGGGAGCUUGAGGCAUGGGAAUGGAAUCUCCUCCAGUUGGGGAGGUCUCAGAACAGAGGGCUGGCUGCAUGGAGAGCAAUUCUGAUACAAGUGGGCUCAGACCUGGAGGUUACCUGUCCAGCCCCAUGCGUUAGUGUGCCGGGGCUGCUGCGUUGAAGGACCACAGCCUUGAACUACAGACACACGUUGUUGCACAUUUCUGGAGGCCAGAAUCCUGAAAUUAAGGUCCUGCUUCCAAAUAUGGCCACGUUGGGGGUUAGAGACGCAAAGUAUCAAUUUGAGAGGAGUACAGUCCAGCCCAUGGCACCAGUCCUGUUGGAUCAGGCCCCACCCUCGUGAUCUCACUUUAACUUGAUUACUUCUGUGAAGACCCUGUCUCCAGACACAUUCCAAGCCGGUCCUAGACUGGAUGGAGACCAACUACAGUAGCAAUGUGGGCCAGGAGCUUGACUCUCAGAGAACUUGGAUCAUGAUCUCCAAACUUCUUCUGAGCAGGAAGAGCAUGGAAUUUGAGUCAGCAAGAUCUGGAUUUCCAGCAUCUUGAUUGGAUGAAGCAGCCACAUGAGUGAUUGACCUAUAUCAUCUAGGUUUGUAUUAUGAGUUUUCCUGUUGGAUGUGGGACAGUUUUGCAUGCAUUCCUUGUGAUUUCACCAUGGCUGGGAUGUCAGGAAUCAUGGAGCUGGACAUUGGCACAUCUUGUCAGGUUAUAUAGCAGAGGGAGGAAGGCCAUGAACCAAGAAGUGCAUGCAGCCUCCCGAAGGUGGAAAAGUGAAGAAAUGUGUCUCCCUUAGAGCUUCCAGAAGGAAUGGAGGCCUGUCAAAACCUUUAGUCCAGUGAAACAGGUUUCAGACUUCUGACCUCCAGAACUCCAAGAAAAUAAGUUUACCUUGUUUAAAGCCACAUUUUUUGUGAUAACUUUCUGUAGUAGCAAUAAAAAAAACCAAUAUGGUGUCAAAUAUUAAACAAAUAAUAACUUACAGGGAGUGUUAUUGCUGUAGAUGAAAUCAACAGAGUGUGAAUGAUGCAGUGAUAGAGAAAAAUGAGUGUGUAUCAGAGUGUUGGGGAGACCUGGCUUGGAACGUGGUCAGGAAAAGUCUUUCUGAAAAGGUGACAUUUAGUCUGAGUUCUGAAGGAUGAAAGGAAUCAGCUAUAUUAAACUCAUCCUUUUUUCUUUCUGGUCUAGAACCAACUCCCCAUCUAACUCUUGCCUACAACAGUGAAAUGAGAGCUCUCUCAUUUCAAGGAAGGUUUGCUUCUAACCCAGAGGUUGACAGAAAAGGAGUGACUUUACUUUGUAGGAGGAGGUUGGGUUUGGGGAAAGACUUUCUGGCUGGAAGCUGGUUGAGAAAGGCCUCAUUGAUCCCAGUCCACAAGUAGCACUCACCUUUGAACCUGGAGUUUGAGCCUGCAGCGGGCAGGUACACACCCUGCAGCUUGCAAGGAAGAGGGAGGCUUGGUAAAGGAAGUAGCUUGUCCCCAGUUGCUCAGCUAGUUAUCAGCAUUGCUGAGCUCAGAGCCCAGGGGUCAUGUGUCCUAGUCCUGUGCUGUCCUCCUCAUGAUACCAGGAUUAAUUUUAGAUGGUUGAAUUGGAAUACUGGAGCCAAUUACCUGGCUGAGAGCACCAAAUGCACUCGAGCACCUAGCUUCUUGGCUGGACUUCUUCAGACCCCAAGAGAAAGACCUUAAGGCUGGCAGUGGGGCCAUCUGAUAGGUGAGAUGUUGGGUGGAAGCCGGGGCACCUAUACCACUGCCCAUGGAAGGGCUGGGACUGCUGCUGCCACUCCAGGCCAGAGAGGCUGACAAUGCCAGUGAAAAUUCUGCUAAGAUGGCCUGUCACUGCCUUGCUGCAGUCACCUCCUGCCCUGUGAUUCCAGACCAGGCAGGGAGUGGGAAUGGCCAAUGGCUGGCUCAGGUCCAGGACCUUCUGGUGACUAACUCCAGGCCCACAAGAGCCAAAUGUCCCAGAAGCAGUAUGGAGGAUGCAACCUCACAUCCAUGAAGCAGACAGAUGUUUGUGAAUGUUUACUCUGUGCCCACUGUAAGGUAGGUCCAGGGGGGCAGGAAAGGGAAUGAGAUAGCAAAAGGAGCAAAAGGAGGGUGGGGUGGCAAAUGCAAGGGCUUAUGAGUCUGUCUGCUGCCCUGUUGACCAUGUUCUCAAAGAAUGCUAAUUCGGUCACUGGUCACCUGUCCCUUGGCUUUGGCACCUGGGAUGAUGUAAAUGCAACCACAAACACUGACAGAUGGGUCCUUGUGCUGUCCUAAACAGGAGGCAAUUGCAGUGAGGAGUUGUCCAGAGAUUCACCCAAGUCAGUGAGGUGGGUGUCCAGGCCCAUUGUCAUCUACUCCACAGAAUAAAUGAGGGAAUGAGUGAAGGAAUGAACGGGAAGCAAACAUCCAUGCAAACUAGCUCCAGUAUCCAAAUGGGCAGUGAGGAUCUGAGGUAGGAAAGACGUUCCUGGAAGCAGGUAGUCAAGAAGAACUUGAUUGGGCAGAGGAUUAGCCCCUGCCUAUACCAGGCUGAUCAUGUACUUGUUGAGAGAAGACAUAUAUAAAAAACGAUGGAGUGACUUUAACUCAUAAAAAUGUCAGGGGAUGUGAAUUGUGCCACACACACAUUCUAGUGCAGGAACAGAAAAAGAUCCCACUUCACAGAGUGGUAGUAUUCAGAGUUUAAAGAGGGGUGUGUGUUGGGAGGGGUGUGUUUGUGGGAGAGGAGUUAGUGAUAUGCUUCAUUGAGGGGUGGGCAGGGGAGCACAUUCUGGGAUGGAAUGUUGCAUGUGAAGACAGGAUCUGGCAGAGAUUGGUGAUGUUGGGGUGCCGUGCUGGGCACUGCAUGGAAGAGGAGGUAGCCGUGAAGGGGUGCCAUAGGGAAAAGAGGACUAAAGCCUGCAGGAGUGUAGAGGGGAGUGCUGUAGUUGAAAUCUGCAGGGCCCUUUCGAGGCCCAUGUAUGUAUUAAAGGCUUGGUCCCUAGUCUGUGGAGCUUUUGGGUGGUGAUGAGAUCUUUAAGGGGUAGGUCCUAGUCAGGGGUCUUUAGAUCACUUGGAGAAUGCCUCCAAAGAGGACUCCAGUCCCUUACACACUCUCUUGAUCCUCUGGAGAUAAGGUGAGUGAUAUUAUUCCACCAUGUGCUCCCACCACGAUAUGCAGCCCUGCCCCAGGCCCAAAGCAACAGGGCCAACCAUUCAUGGACUAGAACUUCCAAAACUGUGAGCCAAAAUAAACCUCUCCUUUUUAUAAGUUGAUAGUUUCAGGUAUUUGUUAGAGCGACAGAAAGCUGACUUACACAGGGAAUAAACUGGUUGAAAUAGCCUAGGGGGGCCUGACCCUUCCCUGAAGCCCAGAGCUAGCCCCAGGCCCUUCCCCAACCCUGGUCAGAUUGCUGGGUCCUCCGUAGAGAAGAUCCCCAUCCUUCCCUGCUAGGCAUCAUAUUUCUGUAGCACUAUAUUUUUUCUCAAUUGUCUUUGUGGCUCCCAACACCUAGAGGCUGUGGCCCCCAGUCUUCAACCUGGGAUUGGCUGCUCUCCUUGCCAUUUCCUCUUAUUCACCCACAUCCUGUGUCCCCCCUGCUCCAGUGCUCCAGUGUACCUGCUCCCAAGAAGACAUGGUGGUCUUCCUGUUGUGAAUCUACUGCUGACUCACCCUCUUCCCUGGACCCCAGCCCACGUGUCUUUUCCUUCUGUCCAUAUCUCCAAACCCUACUGUUAUGGUUUGAAUCUGGAAUGUCUCACAAAGCUGCAAGUGUUCAAGGCUUGUUCCCUAUUGCAGCCAGCAUCAGAGGUGGGGCUUUUAGGAAGUGACUGGGUCGUUAGAGCCCUGACUCCAUCGGUGGAGUGAGACCUCUGACUCCAUCGGUGGAUUCAUCCGUUGAUAGCUGAAUGCACACCUGGGAAGUGGUGGAAGUGGUAGGCAGGUGCAGUGGGGUUGGAGGAAGUACGUCCCUGGGGGCAUGUCAGUUGUUCCCCAACCCCCACUUCCUGGCAGUCAUGGGCUGAGCAAGUUUUGUUCCCCUUGCCUUUGUGCCAUGAAGUUCUUCCUCACCUCAGACCUAGAGCAAUGAAGCCAACGAAUCAUAGACAAGCCUUUGAAACCAUGAGCCAAAAUAAAUCCUUCCUUCUUAAAGUUACUCACCUACCUCCUCAUCUUCUGAGACCUAGCUCAAGGUCCACCCCUUCUAGGAAGCCCACACUAACUUGCCUAGUUCAGAGCUGCCUCUAACUUCCUUGAAUUCCUGCAGAAUUUGCUGUCCACCCCUCUUCUCUACCCUUACCAUGUUGCCCCUGGGUUGUUCAUUGUGCCUCUGUGGGGGAAUUUUACUGGACUCCUAAGAUUUGGCUGUGGAUUCUGUGUAAACCUUUCUGUGUUAUGAUUUUUAAAAAAUGUUGAGUGUUACCAUUCUAAUUCUACUGUGAGGAUUAAAACAGCCUAUUAUGCUGGGCACGGUGGCACAUGCUUUUAAUCCCAGCAGCUUGGGAGGCUGAGAUAGGAGGAUCAAAGCCAGCCUCUGCAAUGACGAGGCGCUAAGCAACUCAGUGAGACCCUAUCUCUAAAUAAAAUACAAAAUAGGCUGGGGAUGUGGCUCAUUGGUCAAGGGCUGGUACCAAGCAAAACAACAACCUAUUAUAUACAAUUUGGCUGGUAAAUAGAUGGCACCCAAUAAAUGCUUAUAGUAAUGAAUGCAAAUUUUCUCCCCUUAUAAAUGCCCCUCAGACAUGGGGUUCCUGGUACUGUGAGGGUUCAGUCACUGCUUGCUGAUAUGAGAACCUCAGAGCCCAGCUGGAUCUGAAUGAGACUCAACAGAUAUCACUGGCUGGCCUCCCUAAGUGCCCAGGUCCUUGGGCCCUUUCUCACUGUUCUGUGGCUCCAGCUUCAUCUAUUCCACACAGAUGCAGGCACAGGAUCAAGGCUUCCUGUAGAGUGUGAAGAAGCGGUGGUUCUCUUCCUGGGAUUACUGAGGAGCCCCUGGAGAUCUUGGUCCCUGUGAAUCUGUGUCUCCUGUCUUUCUGAGAUUCUUAAACAGGUUCUCAAGGACUCUCCCAGCCCCAGGGAUUUGUUCCCCUCUUUUCUUGGUCACAAAGAGCCCUACUUUCCUAAUGAGCUGCUAAGGAGCUGUCAAUUAUGGAUGCAAAUAAAGAGGCCGGAAACCAUUACCAGCCCAGAAAUGAACUGAGGGAAGCAACUUUUCUUCAGCCUCCGGGGCUUGCCCCUGCUUCCCUGGGAAAGCCAAGCAGAAGCAGGUCGGGGGAGGCCGGCCUGCAGGCCCCACCGCCUGCAGCAGAACAGGCUGCUGGCUUCUUCUCACAGACUCGUCCAGUUGAAGGUUGAGCCUCAGAAUCAGGUCGCCGUGCGGGGGAUUGUCCAUGUGUGUUAUGUAUCACUUUAGGGUAUAUAUGAGGUAUUUCCCAUAUAUAAAAUAAAUUUCAGGUAUUGAACAAAUGUGGUAGACAUUUAUAUUCUUCUUCUAGAAAAUUUUUUUUUAUUAGCAUUUCUUUCCUGGCCACAUACAAGUCUCCACAAAAAUCUGCUUAAUAAAUUGUAAUCAUUUAUUAAGUAAUUGCUUAAUCAUUUUUCACAUCAUUUAUUUUUAUUUUCACAUAAAAGAAUAUAUGAGCCCAUUGGGCUAGGCAAGCAGGGACAGAAGGUGGUCCUUGGGCAGCUUAUCUUCCUGGCCCCAGGCUCCCAACACCUUCUCUCCCCAACAAAACCUUCUUUUUCUGAUUCCUGGGGACCACCUGAUUUCCAUAUUUUAGUAAAAUAUUUGACCAGGACACCACAUGAUGUCUUAGGAGUGUGGGUUUUGGUGUCAGACUGCUUGGGUUCAGAUGCUGUUCCCUAUAUAUUUGGAAAAAUAGCUCAGCCUCUCCAUGUGACAAUUUCUUUAUUUAUACAGGCAGCUGUACGGGGAAAAAAAAAUGACUUGUCUUCUCAUCUUAGGUUCAUGGCUGAGGUCCCCAGAACUGAAGACAGAUUAACAAGAGAAAAGCACAUGACGUUGUUUAAUAUAAAUUUUAAUGACAUAGUGGUUGAGAAAUGAAGACCCAAAGAAAUGAGGCCAUCUCUGUAUUUUUCUGCUGUUUGAUGAGGAAGUGGACAGCCGGACAGAAGCGUGACUGGACCAAAGGGGUGUGAGCUAAUGAGGAGAACUUGACAGAGAGGGUCUUUGUUCAUAUUCUUCUCUGCAUCCCAGUGUCUUCAGAGAUAAGAGUGUUCAUUUCCUCUGGAUGCAGGGUGGGCACCUUUCAUAUGAGAGUCUUCUGAGCUACUUUGGGGGAAGAUUAGAAAAUCCUUCCCAGGUAUCAUGGUGGAAGAAAGGUGGGGGGAAGGUCAGAGGGAGCUUCCUGCUUCUGUUUUUUUUUUUUUUUUCAAAUACCAAAGAGUUGUAUUUUGGGGUGUCCUGAACGCCAACAUAGACCAUCACAGCACUGCUCUGAGAGGGAUCUAUAAAGAUGAAAAGGUGUGAGUGUGUGAAGAGUCAUGUGGCACCUAGACUCCCAUGAGUCCUCAAUCAACCUAGUGGCCUCCUAGGACUGUCCCAAUAGCAGUUCCUCGCAGUGAGGGACGGUGCUGCCUCCCUCAGUCCUCACCAAGGUCUGGAGAGGGAAGGCCUAUUGUCCCCAUUUGCCCAUGGAGAAAGGGAGAAACUGAGGCCCAGAGAAAUUAACCUGAGGCCAUUAACAGAGUCCCACUUUUAUCAUCUGAGCCUAGAAAUCCUCUUCUUCCCAAUACGUGUGCUGACUGCUAAGCCUUACCAUGUUCCCUCUCCCAGGGGAUUUGCAUUGUAACGGUGGCCAGAGGUCCUAUGUUAAUGCACAAAGCUAUGAAAAUCUAAUUGUGGAACCUUAAAAAUCUCAUUUAAUGGCUGGGGAAAGUGGGCAGUGUCAGGUAGUGAGUUAGGGAAGGGGGAAGUUUUGUUUUGUUUUGUUUGUUUGUUUGUUUGAAUGGCAAUGAAAGACAAAGAAAAUUUUUGCUGCUUUUGAAAUCAUUGUUCACAGGCAUACUCUCUUUGUUCUUAACCCACUUGGAGGAAUCUCAACCAGGAAGAGCUGCAGCUGGGAAGGUAGGACUUGAGCCUGUAGGCUUCUAGUUAAAGAACCCUUGUCCUUGAAACUUUGGAAUUUGGAGAAGCUUUAGAUGCUCUGAGGCCUAGGAAGGGGCUUAGGAGGGAUCUGGCUGGCAGCAGAGUUUGGAGAAGAUCUUCUCAAGGCAGAGCUGAGAAGCGUGGGAACAAGGCUGAGUGUCCACAAAGAGUCCUUCUCUCAAUAGCUCUCUUGCAAGAAUUCUUAGUUUCUGGUGUCUCUGCCUGGGUUGGGUGACUAAGGCUGGAACACAUUACUGGGAGGAGCUGACAUGCUUUUAAAGAUACCUCUGAGUCCUGAGGUCACCUGAAGUCAGAAGUUGAGUCAAUUCUACCAGAGCACAAGGGCUAAGUGAAGCACGUCUCUUGAAAGAAAAUUUGGGAUGUUGUUGCUAAAGAAGGAGGAACUGAUACUCAGGAACCAGAAAGAUAUUGAUUACAAUUUCUAUCUUGGACAGGUAAUUAAAAAAUAGACUUUAGAAGUACAUGUAUACUGGGUUUGAAUACCUGUGUGAUUUGAGCAAACUUCUCAAACUUCUUGGACUUUAAAAUCCUCUUGAGAGCAAAGGAAGGAUGCUAUGUGGUUAGGAUUUGGUGUAGGAGGCAUGAAUAACAGAUGGCCAUACUCCUUCCUCAUACUGAAUGUAUGCACAAAAUGUGUUGAAAAUGUUGAUAGGAACCCCCAGCUAUGGAAGGCCUGCUGUACAAAAAUUGUGGAGACUUCCCCCAGCCUGGCAGGAGCAGACUUCAAGCUUCUCUGAAACCCAGCCUCUGAGGGCUUGAACACCAGCGUGAAAGGUUCCAAGGGGCCCAUUUCUUCACAUCGGCAAAGCUAUUUUUCUGCAGUGACCUUUGAUCUAAUUGCACGCUUGCCAUCAUUCAACGGGACUCACAAUUCUUCAUCCAGUAGGGAAAUGACAAGAGACUGCAGGGCUUUAAAUGUUCAGUCCUUGAUCCUGUGGCUUUUUGCCUCAAAUGCCACCCAGGCCCCUACAGGAGAAUGUGCAAUAGUGACUCCAGAGUCUAAAUGUCCUAACAGCAGGAGUGCCAGGGGUCAGACCGCAGUCAAGGAAGGGGGAAGGGUGGGAGAGAGGGGACCUGAGGACAUAGUUCUAAUGCCAGCUGCCAUGAAGGGGCUGCUGAGAAGGGCACCUGAACUCAAUAGCAACUGGACUGUGACCGGUGCUCGGCUGCGUCCACUAAAGGCCUGACUGGGCAGGUAGAGAGGGUAAAGAACCUGGGGCAGGUCCAGAUAAGAGGAAAUCAAGUGGGGAACGAGAUGGAAUUCUGCUUCCUGAGAAUUUGUCUGAAAAGAGCAAGUCGGGCAACGACAGGGUGCACCAAUGUUGGGGAGCAGUGCCUACAUCCACUUGGGCUCCAAUGUGGGACCCCCCACCUCCUCUUAGGACCUCGGGACCUCCUGCUGAGACCACUGGGUGUGCUCACGGACUGGCCUCCCUGCCGCCACUCCACCCUCGCGGCUGUCAGGGGUAACCUUUGCAAAAUACAAACAGGAAUGUUUACCUCCCCCCCAGACUCUUCAACAGUUCUCAGAAACCUACAGAAUAAGUUCAGACUCUUUGGUGUGGCUUUUCAGGUCAUAUGAGGACUGGCCUCGACCAACUGCUCAGGUCUUGGCUCCUGGAACAUCCCACCCCACACCUUGAGUUGUGACCCCCCUCGUGAAAUCUCCGUGUCCUGAGCAUGCCAGGUACUGCCUCACCCAUCCAUCUUUGCCCAGGGGACUUCUCUGUCUGUAUCUGAUCAUCUCCUCCUCUUUGCCCAUGAGUAUUUUAUCUAUGUUUCAAGAGCCUCCGAGAAGCCAUCCCUUAUCUCAGGUGAGAAUUUCUGGCUCCUACACCUCCUGAUUUGAACCCUAACUGGAGACAUACCCACCCCUAGGAAGUUGUAAGCGAUUUAAGGUCAAGACUUACAUAAAAAACAUGGGGGACUUUCUCUGUACGAGCUCAGUGCCAGGCUUGUAGCAAGUGCCCAAUGGGCUGUGAGUAUAGGAACCUGAAGCCCUUGCUGGUGUGAGUGGUAAUGACCCCCAGAGCUGCAUCCAGGAAGGGCAAGGCAGUAAAGGAGCAGAGAAGAGUCCUGCGUCUCUUUGCUCUGACUCUCAUCAUUCAUUUGCCAGGCUGAGCUCAGCAGCCCUGCUGCCAAGGGAUAUAGAGCUUGAGGCCUGGAGGCCUGUUCCAAAUGGGCCCAGCUAUUCUUGGGAGCUUUUUAUGUAAUAAAGACAGUCUCCUAACUGGCCUGCUGACCUUUCCCCAGGCUUCCUAAAGGCUGAGUUAUCACCUGGUAUAUGAUACAAGAGCCACCCCCCACCCCCCAGAGAAAGAAGAAAAAGCUUGUAGGAAGGCCGGUAGUAAUAGCUUCCACUUAUUGAGCAUUUACAAUCUGCCCAGCAUUUUGGAUGUAAUCUCCCAUUUGAUCUUUACAGCACCAACACCAUAGUAAGUUAAGAAUGGAAAGAAGGUGAGGUUCAGAAUGGACAAGUCACUUUUCUUGAAUCACACAGCUUUUCAUUGGUGAGCCCAGAAUCUAGUUUAGGUCUGUUUGACUCCAGAAAUCCCUAUUGUCAGCCACGGCAUUUUACAUUCUUGGGGUGGAACAAGCCAUCUGCAGCUCCUCCUGUUCCUUGGGAAGCUAUUUAUCACCACAGGGACUCUGGAUGGGCAGUUGGUUUGUGAGGACCACUCUGUCCCCUUGGGUGUCUGGAGAUGGAGAUAAAGAGAGAUGGGAAGAGGAUGAGGGUUUGUCCCACUGAUUGGCCACAUGUUCAGUGGGGCAGUCUGGAUGACAGAAACAUGCAUGUCCAUGCAGAAUGACCUUACGGCACCUCUAACUAAAGGGGUUAGAGAGUCUCUAGGUCUCUAGCUGAAGAAAAAGUCAGGAGAGCAGGAUGAGACCCUGUCAGGAUCUUGGGUGGAAGGCAGCAGGGGCCCAGCUCAGCUGUUCCUCCAUGGAAGCUCAGGUGGGCCACAACGGGUGGCCUGGCUGUGUCAGUUUGUCCCUCUCGGCAGAGACCACUCUCCUAGCAGAAGGGGCCACAUUCCUGUAUGAGAAUGAGUGCCCAUGUGAGCCUCUAUUUGCCUCUUUCUAAGAAAAUUCUUGUGUGAUAUGAAGUGCAUUGUAAUCACCACAUCUAAUUACAAAAAGAGAGUAAAUCACCAAACAAAAUUAAUUUACAGAGUCUUAAUUAUCACCAGAAAGGAUAACUAAUAAGCGAAAUAGGAAGUGACCAAGACAAGUCUUAUAGCCAGCAAAGAUGUGUUUUCCUUCUCAGUAUACAGGAUGUGGGGAGUGAGAGGGAGCGGACAGAUGGGGUGUGUAGUGCCCAAGCCUUCAGAGCCCCAGCGGGCACUAAAACUGAAUGUCCUAGGGCUCUAUGCAUUCUCAGAAGUUGGCAUGCCUUUCAAACUUGGUUUGCAAAGUUUCUAGGUCAUUCCUUCCAGCCUUCUUCCUUUCCCAGGCCUGGAGGCCAGAGUAAGGCAGCAGAAUUAGAAUAAAUAGACAUACCGUCCUCUCCUCUCCUCUAGCCCGGUGUAACAGGCUCUGGGCCAGAAACUCUCAAACCAAUUGAUGAUAACAAGCUCAAGUUCAAUGCCAUUGGCUGUCUGGUGAGACCUCCCUGGCUUUUCUUGUCUCUUCUCCUUGGCUUGUAUUUUUUUAUUUAUUCAUUUUAGUAGUAGCAUCAUAUAAAUAAAACACCAUUACAAAAAUGUCGCAGAAAGUUCAAAACUAUUCAUUAUCCAUUUCAUACAGAUUAAAAUUGCCAUCAAGGCUGUUUGGAUUUGACUUGCGUUCCUUUCCUUCUAAUGAGCCGGAUAGAGAAGGCAAAAGAUGCUAAUUCAUCCUUACAUCUCUAUCAUAUCUCGGCUUUUACUAUAUAAAGCAUCAAGGUCGCAUUCUGGGGAAAUGUCUUUUUACCAAAGGUGCUAUAAUAAUAAUGAAGAAGCAAUUUGUUUCAGCAAACUGCCUGCAGUAAUGAGGCUUAAUUAUAACCAUGUUAUUAAUACCGCUGCUUAAGGUAAUUCACUUCUGAGCGGGGUGCAGAACAGUAAACUAUAAUUUAAACAAGAAUCGAGACCUAAUUUAAAUCAUCGGAUCUACUGCGGAAAAAGGCAAACAGAACGACUGUAAUCCGCACGUGAUUUAGAGCUUCCCCUUGGUGCCAUUUCCGGGAGACUGGGUGACUGUCAGAGGGCCAGGGAGCCUGGGUCUGGGCCGGGGUCCUCGAGUCUUCCAGGAGGCUUUGUGAGUGAAGCAGCCAGGUGGACCUGAACCCAGGCACCUGCUACCUCUUGACCUCUUCCCCAUGUAGGCAAAGGAAGCUGAGAGGGCAGAGCAAGGUCCUCAGCAUCUCAAGGACAUUUUCCAGGUGAUCUUGAACUCAUUGUCAUUCUCUUCCCCUUAGUUACUAUAAAACCAUGGGAAUUUAUUUGACUGGACGUCUACAGAAGACCAGACCCAGACCAGGAAGGGGCGUGACUUGCUGCCCAGGAACACACAGUGGGCUUCCAGGAAUAAGUCAAGGUCUUCUUCCCCACUGGUCCAGUGCUUGAACAGCAAUAUUAGCUUCAUCUGCAGGCCUACACCUCCCUAGGCUGCUCUAACACAUCGCUAAUCCAAGGACCCCAAGACCUAGCAGUUCAUCAGAAAUCUCCCAAGAUGCUUGUUAGCAAAUGUAAACUCCUGUGUCCUACAUCACCACCUAGAUCCUGACGUCGUUCGUCUGACUUUGCACUGGGGGUCUGUGUAUUUACCAAGAACUUUGGUUACCGUGAUGCAGCUGGUCCAUGGGACCACGUACAAAGUUCCUUCACUCUUCUGCAGUGCCAAUGCAUUAAAAAUAUACAAGAAAUA